GGGAGUGCAGCUGGUCUCAGGUAAGACUGAGGUGAAUCAGACCCACCCUUGCCCAACCAGGGCCUGCAGGCUGGUCACCAGCAGUGCUGUAGAAGGCAGUCAGUUGUGAGAGCCGGAGCAAAGGCACAGUGUGGGCGGCUUGUCAGACAGAGUGUUACGACCAGCUGGACAUCAGAAAUGCUUCUUAGGGAGGUGGUAUUUGAGUUGCAUGUUGAGUGAUGGAUAGGAUUUUUUGAGUGGAGAAAAGGGGAUAGAGGUGAGUCUAUUAUAAUUCUCCAGUAAAAAAUAUCUCUCUUGAGUGGGUAGAUAAGUAGGAAUGUAAGAUAGUUUUAGUAGGUUUUGUUUCUUCCAGGUAUCCAGAUACCCACUCUUCACUCUGAAAGACAUGUAUGUCUGAAACUGUCUGUUUUAAGUCCAGAACCAAACUCAUCUAUCCGUGGACUCGGUGGACUGGGACCAGCAGAGGAGCCCGUCCAUUCUGAAGAGGCUGCUUGCGAGGCAUCCUGCAGGGUGCACUUCAGGCCCACCCAGCUGAAGUCUGCUUUUGAAGAGAAUGUUGACUUUGAGCUUCUGUGUGGAAAGGGCUGACAUUUGGAGGAAGAGCCAGGUUCUUGGAAGAGUCUGGGCUAUUCUGGCAUGAACUAGAUUCUUCCUCACAAGCAGAAGAGGAUCUAGUCUCCACGCCAUUGUGGUGGAUUAAUUACAAAAACGAGCAUCCGUCAUUCCCCUUGCUGCAUCCACGCCCCCUUGCCAUGUACCUUUCACCGCUCUCCUGCUCUGAGUCUGAGCUCAGCCACGUGACUUGCUUGCCCAAUGGGAUGUUAGCCGUUGUGCACAAGCAGAGGCUUGAAAAGUGCCCCUGGGGGUUUGUCCUCUCUUGCUGCUCUUGGACUCCUGCCACCACGUGGAUGAGUAUGUGGGAGGACGAGGUCACGUGGAGGAGCACUGACCACAGACGCGUGGGUGAGCCCAGCAGGGAUCCACAGAACUCCCCAGCUGAGCCUGGCCAAACUGCCAACCUGCGGAAUUGUGAGCUGAAU